rnacentral:lncRNA from 1 species
UCGCCAUAAGAAUAUAACUUGAAAUACAGUAGUGUGAAUUAACAUGAUAGGAGAUGAAUGUGGUAGAGAAGAUGACUACUAAUCUUUACAUUUCUUGCGUGGAUGCUAUUUAUUGUUCAGAAGAAGAUGGUUCUUCUUCAACAACAGGUUUGCCUCUCUCUCUAAGUUUGGCCAUGGAGGCCUUCAUAGCUUCUUUACGCUUCUUGCUCGCCAAUACCUUCGCCUGAACUCCACUCACUGUCGGAUCAUUCUUCUCCUUAGGUGGUGGUGGAGGUGGCCUUCUUGCUGCCGCUAUUGCCUCCUCCUUACCGUUCAGAGCAUUCCAACUCCAUAGCGCACCACCUAACCCAACCACAAUCGCCCUGCAUUGACAUUUCACGUAAUAACAUUAAUUUCACACUCUAUUAUCAAAUAGAAAACUAGGUUCAUAAAAAUUACCACUUUGUCUAAUCGGUUUUAAUAUAAAAGGACAAACAUAGACAAUUACCUGCGGUUAAUUUGUGGAACUUGAAGGAUGAUGGGGGGAGUCUGCGACGGUGAUCGUGGUGAUGGAGAGGAGAGGCUGCCGGUGUGAGUAGCGGGUAAGAGAGGAGAGAAUGAAUGUGUCAUCAUGGCUGAUCCAAGCAAGUGAUGUAACCCAAAAUUGGUAGACACUAAAAAUGUGUCAUGGCUGAUCCAAGCAAGUGAUGUAACCCAAAUAUAAGAUAGAGUGGGAUAGUGUUGUAGCCUUCGCAAUUUAUAUCUGCCUGCUCAUUGGUUGGAUUUGGAUAAGACAUCAAAAGUAUAAUUUUUUUUUGUCUACAAAGAGAAAGAAGGCUUUCAGGAAUCAAAACGCUGCGUUUUCUAUAAAUGUGGCUUUCUUUCAAGUGCAGUUUCUCUUCUUUUGACAAAUUUAAAUCUUUGAAACUUGACAAGUAUGAUUAAAAAUCAUUACAAUAAUAAGCGCUGUAUUCAUUCCAAACUAUUUCAAAUCCAUACAAAAGUAAGUAGAUUUCAAAACAAACAAACAAAAAGUAAGUAUGAGACUUUUGAUCUAGUUGAUCAUCUCACAAACCAUAAGUUAAAAAAAAAAAACGAGUUAUACUUUUUAUAAUUUAAAAAUACUUUUUGAAACUGUUUUUAAAAUUUUUAUUUUAAUAUUUAUUUUUUAUAAAAUUUUAAACCCUAAUUCCAAAAUCCCACCCCUUAACUCUAAACCCUAAGGUUUGGAUUAAUUAACCCAAGGGGUAUAAAUGUAUAUUUACCUCUUUAAUGAAACCUAUUUUUGUGACUUUGAGCCUUGAGUGCUACUUUGGUAACAUAAACUUGGUUUAGUGUUUUUCUAGUCUUUUUCUCUAGUUUUAUUAUGCCUUUCUAAAUGUGAAAAGUGUGUAUGCUAGUGUUUGUAAAAUGCAUAAUAUGGAGUAGGCAUGGGCAUAAAAACCGAAAAUCCAACCGGAACUGAACCGAAAAAUCGAAUCUAAAACCAAACCAAAGUUCAAAAAUAACCGAAUGGUUCCUAUAUUUCUAUAACUGAAACCGAACCGAGAACCGAAUGGGUACCCGAAUAUCCAAAAUAAAAUUUCUAUACCUAAAAAUAUUAAUUAUAUUUAGUAUUAAAAAUACUAAAUAUUCAAAACGUACUACUUAUAUACCGAAUUAUCCAAAAAAUCGUAAUACUCAAAAAAUCGAAAUACUCAAAAAAAUUGAAAAGUCUAAUUAGAUGGGUUUCGAUAGUACAUUUGCAUCAGUUUGCAACUUUGCAUCAAUUAGAGAUUUGAUAUUUAAUAUUUUAUAAUGUACUAAAGGAUUCUUUAAUAUGAUCAAGUAAAUUAUAGCCUUAUAGGAUACUCUUUUUAGAGCCCAAGUAAGAAGUUACUCGGAUGCCGGUUUAGAGCCUAAGUAAGAAAAUUUCCAUUGGCUUGCGACUAAAUAAUCUGACGUAAGUUAUGGAUCUGAUAUCACAAAGUCGCCAUAAGAAUAUAACUUGAAAUACAGUAGUGUGAAUUAACAUGAUAGGAGAUGAAUGUGGUAGAGAAGAUGACUACUAAUCUUUACAUUUCUUGCGUGGAUGCUAUUUAUUGUUCAGAAGAAGAUGGUUCUUCUUCAACAACAGGUUUGCCUCUCUCUCUAAGUUUGGCCAUGGAGGCCUUCAUAGCUUCUUUACGCUUCUUGCUCGCCAAUACCUUCGCCUGAACUCCACUCACUGUCGGAUCAUUCUUCUCCUUAGGUGGUGGUGGAGGUGGCCUUCUUGCUGCCGCUAUUGCCUCCUCCUUACCGUUCAGAGCAUUCCAACUCCAUAGCGCACCACCUAACCCAACCACAAUCGCCCUGCAUUGACAUUUCACGUAAUAACAUUAAUUUC